GGUUGACCUCGGAUCAGGUAGGGAUACCCGCUGAACUUAAGCAUAUCAAUAAGCGGAGGAAAAGAAACCAACAGGGAUUGCCUCAGUAACGGCGAGUGAAGCGGCAAGAGCUCAAAUUUGAAAGCUGGCUCCUUCGGGGUCCGCAUUGUAAUUUGCAGAGGAUGCUUCGGGCAUGGCCCCCGUCUAAGUGCCCUGGAAGGGGCCGUCAUAGAGGGUGAGAAUCCCGUCUGGGACGGGGUGUCCGUGUCCGUGUGAAGCUCCUUCGACGAGUCGAGUUGUUUGGGAAUGCAGCUCUAAAUGGGUGGUAAAUUUCAUCUAAAGCUAAAUACUGGCCGGAGACCGAUAGCGCACAAGUAGAGUGAUCGAAAGAUGAAAAGCACUUUGAAAAGAGAGUUAAACAGCACGUGAAAUUGUUGAAAGGGAAGCGUUUGCGACCAGACUCGCCCGCGGGGUUCAACCGGCAUUCGUGCCGGUGUACUUCCCCGUGGGCGGGCCAGCGUCGGUUUGGGCGGCCGGUCAAAGGCCUCCGGAAUGUAUCACCCUUCGGGGUUGUCUUAUAGCCGGGGGUGCAAUGCGGCCUGCCUGGACCGAGGAACGCGCUUCGGCUCGGACGCUGGCGUAAUGGUCGUAAAUGACC
rnacentral:rRNA from 1 species